CUCAUUUUCUUCUUCUGCUUCAUCUGUCAUUUUCUCAUCUUUUCCUCUUUCUUCUUCUUCUUCUUCUUCUUGUUCUUGUUCUUUCGCAUCUUCUUCAUCUGCUGCAUUUUUCUCUUCCGUUUCUUCUUCUUCUCUUCUUCUCCUUUUUUAUCUACUGCAACAAUGUCCGUCACUACGACUGCAAGUUCUUCAAGGUUUACUUGAUGCUGGCUACGAGGGGGAC
rnacentral:lncRNA from 1 species